GGUUGAUCCUGCCAGUAGUCAUAUGCUUGUCUCAAAGAUUAAGCCAUGCAUGUCUAAGUAUAAACGAGAUUAUACAGUGAGACUGCGGAUGGCUCAUUAAAUCAGUUAUAGUUUAUUUGAUGGUUCCUCAUUCCUUUCCGCUACUUGGAUAACCGUAGUAAUCCUAGAGCUAAUACAUGCCAACGACCCCGACUAAGGGGGGGCGGGGGGCGGGGGCAACCCCUCCCCCCGUCCCGCUCACCCUUCGGGAGGGGCGUAUUUAUUAGAUAAAAAACCGACGCGGGGCAUCCCAA
rnacentral:rRNA from 1 species